rnacentral:rRNA from 1 species
CCCUUAGAUGUUCUGGGCCGCACGCGCGCUACACUGAUGCAUUCAACGAGUUUCUUCCUGGUCCGAGAGGAAUGGGUAACCUUUUGAAAGUGCAUCGUGAUAGGGAUAGACUAUUGCAAUUAUUGGUCUUCAACGAGGAAUUCCUAGUAGACGUAGUUCAUCAGACUGCAUCGAUUACGUUCCUGCCCUUUGUACACACCGCCCGUCGCUCCUACCGAUUGAAUGCUCAGGUGAGCCAUUCGGACUUUCAUCAUGCUGGUUUCCAGUUUUGAUGAAGGAAAGUCUUGCGAACCUUAUCAUUUAGAGGAAGGAGAAGUCGUAACA